UACGUAGGGGGGCUAGCGUUGUUCGGAAUUACUGGGCGUAAAGCGCACGUAGGCGGCUUUGUAAGUUAGAGGUGAAAGCCCGGGGCUCAACUCCGGAAUUGCCUUUAAGACUGCAUCGCUAGAAUUGUGGAGAGGUAAGUGGAAUUCCGAGUGUAGAGGUGAAAUUCGUAGAUAUUCGGAAGAACACCAGUGGCGAAGGCGACUUACUGGACACAUAUUGACGCUGAGGUGCGAAAGCGUGGGGAGCAAACAGG
rnacentral:rRNA from 1 species